AAUCCACUUCUCUCUCCUCUUUCUUCCCAGUCGAUACCACUCUUUCUUUUCCUCUCUCGCAUUUCAGUCGGCCAGACCAGAUGAGCCAUCUCCGGCCACCACCCAAUGACACGCACCCCACCACGAGCUUCUUUGCCCCCGAAACCCCCAACCCGUGAAGCUCGCCUCCCCACUCGCCGGCCUCCGUCGCGAUUGGCUCCCCGAAGUUCCGUCGCCGCUGUGAGUUUGGAGGAUUGUUCUGGCCUCCACCGUGGACGAUGAAGGCUCCUGCUGGCGACGACGAUGGGGAAGGCGACGGCGAAGGCUCCUGAGCUGGUGAAGUUCUCAGGCGUGGGUGGUGCUGCCAUUCUCUUCAAGAUGUGUCCUGCUUCCAAGGAUUGUUCUUUUGUCCAGAAGCAUGUUCUUUGUUGCUUCAUAACUUUUGCGUAUAUCAUAUUAGUCCUCCCGGCCAUGAGAGAACGCUUUGGAAGAUCUUGGUGUGAGUACGUGGAGCGGCUUUGAUAGGAAGAUCGUUCUAAAUACGAGAAAAUAGCAAGGACACUUGAUAGGCUUCAAGAGAACUAUUUCAGUUGGGAGCUGAAACAAUUAGUUUUGAUGAUCCUUUGCUUUCUGCUGAUGACUUGGUGGAUCAGAUCGCCGAUGUUCUUAAUUAUUUUGGGGAUGAUUUUAGAAAGAAAUUCAUGGCAGUCAAUCAUUACUUUGGAAAGGCAGUGACGAGGGUGAGUACAAGGACAAGAAGAAGAAAUAUAUGUUGUUUGACAAUGAAUUUAGUGUUUUAUUAUAUUUGUAAUUUUUAUUAGAGUAAAUGAUUCUUGUUUGAAUGGUUAAUUAUUUACUUUGUAAAUCUAGUUAUAUAUUUUUUUAAGGUCAA